GACGAACGCUGGCGGCGUGCCUAACACAUGCAAGUCGAACGAGGUCCAAGGAAGCUUGCUUCCUGACGACCUAGUGGCGAACGGGUGAGUAACACGUGAGAAACCUGCCUCGGAGUGGGGAAUAACUCGGGGAAACUCGAGCUAAUACCGCAUGUCUUCACAUGAUCGCAUGGUCGAGUGAAGAAAGAAUUUCGCUCUGAGAGGGUCUCGCGGCCUAUCAGCUUGUUGGCGGGGUAACGGCCCACCAAGGCAACGACGGGUAGCUGGUUUGAGAGAACGAUCAGCCACACUGGGACUGAGACACGGCCCAGACUCCUACGGGAGGCAGCAGUGGGGAAUCUUGCGCAAUGGGCGAAAGCCUGACGCAGCAACGCCGCGUGCGGGAUGACGGCCUUCGUGGUUGUAAACCGCUUUCAGCAGGGACGAAAAUGACGGUACCUGCAGAAGAAGCCCCGGCUAACUACGUG
rnacentral:rRNA from 1 species